rnacentral:rRNA from 1 species
CCUACGGGCGGCUGCAGUGAGGAAUAUUGGUCAAUGGACGAGAGUCUGAACCAGCCAAGUAGCGUGAAGGAUGACUGCCCUAUGGGUUGUAAACUUCUUUUAUAUGGGAAUAAAAUGUUCCACGUGUGGGAUUUUGUAUGUCCCAUAUGAAUAAGGAUCGGCUAACUCCGUGCCAGCAGCCGCGGUAAUACGGAGGCUCCGAGCGUUAUCCGGAUUUAUUGGGUUUAAAGGGAGCGUAGGUGGAUUGUUAAGUCAGUUGUGAAAGUUUGCGGCUCAACCGUAAAAUUGCAGUUGAAACUGGCAGUCUGGAGUACAGUAGAGGUGGGCGGAAUUCGUGGUGUAGCGGUGAAAUGCUUAGAUAUCACGAAGAACUCCGAUUGCGAAGGCAGCUCACUGGACUGCAACUGACACUGAGGCUCGAAAGUGUGGGUAUCAAACAGGAUUAGAUACCCCUGUAGUC